rnacentral:rRNA from 1 species
AACGAACGCUGGCGGCAUGCCUAACACAUGCAAGUCGAACGAACCCUUCGGGGUUAGUGGCGCACGGGUGCGUAACGCGUGGGAAUCUGCCCUUUGCUUCGGAAUAACUCAGGGAAACUUGUGCUAAUACCGGAUGAUGUCUUCGGACCAAAGAUUUAUCGGCAAGGGAUGAGCCCGCGUAGGAUUAGGUAGUUGGUGGGGUAAAGGCCUACCAAGCCGACGAUCCUUAGCUGGUCUGAGAGGAUGAUCAGCCACACUGGGACUGAGACACGGCCCAGACUCCUGCGGGGAGGAGGAGGGGGGAAUUUUGGACAAUGGGCGCAAGCCUGAGCCAGCAAUGCCGCGUGGGUGGUGAAGGCCCUCGGGUCGUAAAGCUCUUUUACCAGGGAUGGUAAUGACGGUACCUGGAGAAUAAGCUCCGGCUAACUCCGUG